rnacentral:antisense_RNA from 1 species
CUAGAUUUGGAAAUCUCUCUCUAGGUGUAUGAAAGGAGGGAAGCAGCUAUAAGGGAAAUAGCAAAGUGAAGAUAUUUACUAGACUCUGCCUUUGCUUGCAGUUCUCUGGCUUGAUUGAGGAGGUUCUCACUUUCAUCUUUAUGGGACUUUGGCUAAAAAAAUAACCUGUCAAAGGAACUGGCAUUUGCUGACGGGACUACAGCACAUCUCGAAGAAUCUGCAGACUGAAACCUUCAAGGCAUUCAUGAAAUGGUCUUUCCUUAGUUCCCCUGCCCUUUCUACUCUUUCUGCCAUUUGGAUUUCACACUGGAAGUUCAAGAGAUGACAUCAGAAAACAGAAAAGCCAGUGGGAAAGGCAAGGAGAUUUGGAAGAGUGUUUGAAAAUUUUGGCAAUCAAGAAUAAGAAGAAAGCAGGAAGCCAAGUCACCAGGCAGAGCUGAUAGCAUGGGAAGUGGGUUCCCACCGGUCGCAUGCAGCUGCUCUGGUAUGGCCAUGGUGCUGGGGAUGAGUCAGAAAUCUCAGUCUUUCCUGACUUAGUGAAAAGGAAGAAUGGAACCCAUCUUCUCCAAAUAUGUUGCUAUGGGGUAGAUGUAGGUCUAGAGACAGAAAAGAAUCACAUUUGAACAUCCUCUUAAUGCAAGAACAUUUUUAAAGAAUCAAUUUCCCCUGAAUAUCCAUCAAGCCUAAUACAGUGUGACUAUCUCAGAUCAAUUGUCCUUAUCUUUACAAAGACUGGGAGUUAUAUAGCUGUGGACAAAAGCAAUACUGUAAAAUAUGUGUAUUAAAGUAUGUAAAAGAAGGGAGUUG